rnacentral:lncRNA from 1 species
AACGAAACAAAAAGAUCAAGAAAGAACCCUAAUUUUUACAAUGAUGAUUUUCUGAUUAUUAACAUCAUCACGGGAAAGUUAAAAACAUGCAAUUUAGUCUAAUCCAAUAAGCCAGUUCGACAUUUUGACUACCGUAUUUACUCGAUUGAGCGCCGCCCCCGAUUGAGCGCCGCCCCCGAAUAAGCGCCGCAUUUGAGAUCAAAUUUUUUUAACGAGUGCCUCCCCCGAAUGAGCGCCGCACUAAACAGUGUAAAAACUUUCUGCCGUCAAAAUGGAUACAUUUAGU